CUUUUUUUCCCUAUUCUCUAUGAUGUCUCUAUUCUAAAUUCUCUGUACUUGCAAUUGAGAAAAGACAAUUUUGACGGUGAGCUCAUCAAAGCCCUCCAACGUUCCCAUGGUCACGUGCGAACCUUGGUAGCUUGGUUUUCAUCCGACGGCCCAGGUCUCUCCAUCCCCCCCUCUCUCUCUCCAUCCGUCGAUUCCCUUUUGUCUCACAGCCGUCGCUCUCUGUCCGCUCGCUCAUGACCGCCGGAAAAACCGCCGUCGGGGGCUUGCGUCCGGAACCCGCCGCCUGCAGCCGGCGCUCGGCUGACGGCGGGCGUCAAGGGCUUCAAGUGCUAGCUUUCCUCGUUCUUUUUGGUGGUUGGGUGUGGUGAAGAGCUGGGGAAAUGGUUUAAUUUGGCUUAAGUGUGUUCAUCCCGUCUGCAUUGCAGGGGAGGUCCUUGUUUUUAGUUGACUUCUAAAUCAGCUCAUGUACCAGCCUCAUUUGUUUCCAACUGGGUUUGGAGACGGUGGGCUAACGCAGAAGCGAUAGAGAACUUUCUGAGCAAAGGAGCUACAGGGGGGAUUGGCUGCAAAGAAGGAAAACCAUAUAGAAGAAGAAGAAGAUGAAUUUUGACAAUUUGUCGUAGCCGCCACCCAUGCUAUACUUGCUUUAUUAUGUAAAAUACACUCAUGAAGGAGGUUGGAUGACCUUAUAGUAUAGACGAAAUGCAUGGCGAAAAGAGUCGAUGGGCGAAGGUGUAGUAAGAUGAGGUGCUAUCAUAUUUGUAGCAUUAGUAGAAUUUUAUUUAAUAAUCUAAUACAUGACUUUGUAACACAAUAGGUUCUCAAAGGAUUUAGCAAUACUAGUAUUGCGGAAAUGCUAGGACUAUUUCUUUACA